UUUAACGGCCGCGGUAUAUUGACCGUGCAAAGGUAGCAUAAUCAUUAGUCUUUUAAUAGAGGGCUGGAAUGAAAGGUUUGACGAGGAACUGGCUGUCUCAUUUUAUUUGUUUUAAAAUUUAAUUUUUUAGUUAAAAAGCUAAAAUUUUAUUGGUAGACGAGAAGACCCUAUAGAGCUUUACAUGUAAUUAUUUUGAUAUUUUUAUAUUAAUGUUUCUAAUUAAUUAUGUGUUUUGUUGGGGUGACAAAAAUAUAUAAUUAACUAUUUUAUUUAGUUAACAUUGAUUUAUGAAUAUUGGAUCCAUUAUUAUUGAUUGUUAGACUAAGUUACCUUAGGGAUAACAGCGUAAUCCUCCUCCAGAGUUCAUAUUUACAGGAGGGCUUGCGACCUCGAUGUUGGAUUAAGAUAAUAAUUAGGUGUAGCCGCUUAAUUAAUAGGUCUGUUCGACCUUUAAAUUCUUACAUGAUCUGA
rnacentral:rRNA from 1 species